rnacentral:rRNA from 1 species
UGGGGAAUAUUUGACAAUGGGCGCAAGCCUGAUCCAGCCAUGCCGCGUGAGUGAUGAAGGCCUUAGGGUUGUAAAGCUCUUUUGUCCGGGACGAUAAUGACGGUACCGGAAGAAUAAGCCCCGGCUAACUUCGUGCCAGCAGCCGCGGUAAUACGAAGGGGGCUAGCGUUGCUCGGAAUCACUGGGCGUAAAGGGCGCGUAGGCGGCCGAUUAAGUCGGGGGUGAAAGCCUGUGGCUCAACCACAGAAUUGCCUUCGAUACUGGUUGGCGUGAGACCGGAAGAGGACAGCGGAACUGCGAGUGUAGAGGUGAAAUUCGUAGAUAUUCGCAAGAACACCAGUGGCGAAGGCGGCUGUCUGGUCCGGUUCUGACGCUGAGGCGCGAAAGCGUGGGGAGCAAACA